AGCGAACGCUGGCGGCAUGCCUUACACAUGCAAGUCGAACGGCAGCGCGGGGCAACCUGGCGGCGAGUGGCGAACGGGUGAGUAAUAUAUCGGAACGUACCCUGGAGUGGGGGAUAACGUAGCGAAAGUUACGCUAAUACCGCAUACGAUCUAAGGAUGAAAGUGGGGGAUUCGCAAGAACCUCAUGCUCCUGGAGCGGC
rnacentral:rRNA from 1 species